rnacentral:rRNA from 1 species
UAGGGAAUCUUCCGCAAUGGGCGAAAGCCUGACGGAGCAACGCCGCGUGAGUGAUGAAGGUCUUCGGAUCGUAAAACUCUGUUACUAGGGUAGAACAAAUGUGUAAGUAACUAUGCACGUCUUGACGGUACCUAAUCAGAAAGCCACGGCUAACUACGUGCCAGCAGCCGCGGUAAUACGUAGGUGGCAAGCGUUAUCCGGAAUUAUUGGGCGUAAAGCGCGCGUAGGCGGUUUUUUAAGUCUGAUGUGAAAGCCCACGGCUCAACCGUGGAGGGUCAUUGGAAACUGGAAAACUUGAGGGCAGAAGAGGAAAGUGGAAUUCCAUGUGUAGCGGUGAAAUGCGCAGAGAUAUGGAGGAACACCAGUGGCGAAGGCGACUUUCUGGUCUGUAACUGACGCUGAUGUGCGAAAGCGGGGGGAUCAAACAGG